rnacentral:rRNA from 1 species
GACGAACGCUGGCGGCGUGCCUAAUACAUGCAAGUAGAACGCACAGUUUAUACCGUAGCUUGCUACACCAUAAACUGUGAGUUGCGAACGGGUGAGUAACGCGUAGGUAACCUGCCUGGUAGCGGGGGAUAACUAUUGGAAACGAUAGCUAAUACCGCAUAAUAUUGAUUAUUGCAUGAUAAUUGAUUGAAAGAUGCUAUUGCAUCACUACCAGAUGGACCUGCGUUGUAUUAGCUAGUAGGUGAGGUAACGGCUCACCUAGGCGACGAUACAUAGCCGACCUGAGAGGGUGGUCGGCCACACUGGGACUGAGAAACGGCCCAGACUCCUACGGGAGGCAGCAGUAGGGAAUCUUCGGCAAUGGACGAAAGUCUGACCGAGCAACGCCGCGUGAGUGAAGAAGGUUUUCGGAUCGUAAAGCUCUGUUGUAAGAGAAGAACGGGUGUGAGAGUGGAAAGUUCACACUGUGACGGUAUCUUACCAGAAAGGGACGGCUAACUACGUG